GACAUGAGACUUUCAGUUUUAAGACUUACACCUCAUGUUCCUUGGGAAGGUCUGAGACUAGAGUCAAUAAACAGCCCUAACAGGGCCCUCCCUGAAUCUCGGGGAGGUGAGUUCCCAGAAAACGGGUCUCCGCGCGAGGUCAGACUGGGCAGGAGAUUCCAUGAGACCCCGUCCUUGAGGAGGGGCCUGGCGGAUGCCUCCUGAGCCGGAGUUUGGAACAGUUUUAAGACUGAGUUGGUUACCCUAUGAGACUGGUCUACCUUAUAGAUGCUAUUUCUAAAUAUUCUGGUUAAGUGGUAGAUAUACAGAGUGCUGGUAACAUGACUUCUCUGCUUUU
rnacentral:RNase_P_RNA from 1 species